GGAAAUUUGAAUUCCGAUAUCUGUCCUCCCCAAAACCUAAACGCCAUCACGAACAAGAACAACCUGUCUUUGGUGGAAAUUCCAAUUCAAAUUCAACAACGCAGAGACCUGCUUUGCCCUAGAAUCCAUAUCCAAAGUAAAUGGAUUCUAGCGUUGUGAGCGAAUUCGUAAGGAAAGAAGUCCCUGAUUGGGACGACGAAGUGAUCGCCACAGCUCGAUUCAAAGCAUUUAGCGGACAAAGAUCGGAUUGGGAAUCCAAAUACCUAUUUUGGAGGGAUUUGAUUCUCAAAAUUGCCUGCCAUCUGGGCAUGUUCGUUAUUCGACCUUCUAAGGUUCAAUUUUCACUAACACUUCCAUUUUCUUCAGUCUCAUUUGGUUAAACUCAUACGUGCGCCCUUGAAAACUGCUUUCUUAUUUUUAAAUUCGUGCACUAUUUUUAUUUUUGGAUCAAAUAUGAAGGUGAAAAAUGAGUGGUUUAAUCGAGGAGGAUUGACCCCUUUAUGCUUUGAUCAUGUACUGGUGAGCUUCUUUGUAUUGUAAUUCAAUGAAUGUAUACUUCUUUUCUAAAUCUAUUUUCUUUUCCAAUUAGUUCGUUUCUUUACUUUUCUUUCGCAUUUUUUUUUUCAAUUGUUAUUUUUCAGUUUUUAAUGUAUAGUGAAGGUGAUAUUAUGCGAAGUGUGGAUCUUGUGGAUCCAAGGAUUGGGCGACUCUCCCAGUUGUUUAGAAAAGUAAGAAAUUUGGUGGUUAGGUCAACCACAACCCUGGAAUUAAUGCUGGAGGACAAUGUCAUUCUUACAGCUUUAUUGAAGGAAAAAGCUAGUGAAAUUAUCAAACUUUUAUCUGAAAGUCAUUGGACAUCUUCAUGCAUUGUUACCAUGAGGAAGUUCCAGGACAUGUGUGGAGGACCAAAUGAAGCAUCUGCAGUUUUGAGUUAUUUGUCUGGACAAGGGAAAGCUCAAUAUCUCUCAGUUAAUAAGAAGGAAUUUAUAGAGGUAUAACACUAUGGUCCUUCCUUGAAACAUGUUGAGGGUAUCACUGUCAAAGCCUCAAGGGCAUUGAUUGAGUUUCUUAAAUUUCUAAAAGAGAAGUCAAUCCUUCACUUUGCUCAAAUUAUGCUUAGAAAAAUAAUUAACAUCUCUUGCAAAUCCAGAUGUCAGGGCAAGUUUGUAUUUCAUGUUUAUGCAGAGUGGAGGAGGUUGUCUGACUACAGAAAAGCUUAAGAUGAUAGUCACUUAACUACUAGGACGCUAGCUCAGUGGUGGAGAUAAUCAUCGACCUCACAUUUUAUGAAUAGUAACUAUUGCAGUGUUGCACGGUCAUUAUAAGAUUGGUAAUUAAAUUACCUUUUUGCAGGGAAUUAAAGUUUCCCUCUCACCAGCACCAGUGCCUACCAUCUCAAGCUUAGAUUUUGAUGUUCUGCACUUGAUAUGGACAAUAGAGAAGCUUCAGCGGCAAAUUGAUUUGAUUGACCAGCGUUAUGAAAUGUACCUCCUGUAACUCUUCCUUGCCUAUUUGCCAAUACUAUCUUGCUUGGGGUUGAGGCCCAAAUUUAAUUAUUCACCUAAAAUCUAAAUUAGUGGACAACAGCAACUAUUUUCUGUGCCAAGUACUGUUGAGGGUUGAAUUUCACAUGAACUUGGACCAGCAACUAUAUUGUCAUUAUUUGAUUGAACCACAUGGGACGCAUAGCAUUAUGUCAGCUGUUAAAAAAGUUGAUUAACAUUCUUUGAUACCAUGAAUAAUUUAAGGAGGAUUUAUAGGUCAAUGAUCGUAUAUAUGGAUUGCAAGUUUUCGUAUACCAUCAGUUAACUUUUUCUGCGCAGAUCAAGAAAAUCAGCUUUGGCAUCUCUGAAAUCCGGAAACAAGAAAAUGGCUCUAAGAAAUGCUAGGGAGAUGAAAUUGACCUCAGAAAGUAGAGAAAAAUGCACUUCACUUUUGAACAGAGUGGAGGAGCUUCUUAAUGCUAUAAUGAAUGCUGAAUCUACAAAGAAGGUAACUGAGGCCAUCCAAAUUGGAGCGCAAGCAAUGAAGCAAAACAGGAUAACUGUGGACGAAGUUGAUCUCUGUUUGGAAGAACUUGAGGAGAGUAUUGAUUCUCAAAAGCAAGUUGAAAAGGCUCUGGAAUCAACUCCAUCGUAUUCUGGUAUUGAGGAUGAAGAUGUUGAAGAGGAGUUCAAAAAAUUAGAGUUUGAAGUAGGAAGUGAAAACCUCCAACCUUCGGUUCCAGGGAUUGGAGUUUGCGGUACAUCAGGAGAAACGGACAAUUUGGUAUCCACCGACUCACUAAGUGAUGCUCUGUCAAAUCUCAAGCUUCAGGAUUAUUCACAAAGUCAGGUUUCCGUGGUGGCAACGAGGACCAAAGGAUCAAAAAAUCCUACACUUGAAGCAGCAUAAAUGAAAAAAUUACAGUUGCCAUACUUGGCAUGUUUUACGAUGUGAAAUUCUUGAUCAUUCGACCAAUGUUUGGGUUCUUAUGUAAUUUUGUGUAUUAUAAAUUGACAUUCUGUGUAUUAUACAAAAUUCAAAUGUGCAUAUACAACAAAAUUAAAUUCAAUAAUUUAUAUUUUACAACUUUCUUUU
rnacentral:misc_RNA from 1 species